AUUGAACGCUGGCGGCAGGCCUAACACAUGCAAGUCGAACGGUAACAGAAAGCAGCUUGCUGCUUUGCUGACGAGUGGCGGACGGGUGAGUAAUGUCUGGGAAACUGCCUGAUGGAGGGGGAUAACUACUGGAAACGGUAGCUAAUACCGCAUAACGUCGCAAGCCCAAAGAGGGGGACCUUCGGGCCUCUUGCCAUCGGAUGUGCCCAGAUGGGAUUAGCUAGUAGGUGGGGUAACGGCUCACCUAGGCGACGAUCCCUAGCUGGUCUGAGAGGAUGACCAGCCACACUGUAACUGAGACACGGUCCAGACUCCUACGGGAGGCAGCAGUGGGGAAUAUUGCACAAUGGGCGCAAGCCUGAUGCAGCCAUGCCGCGUGUAUGAAGAAGGCCUUCGGGUUGUAAAGUACUUUCAGCGGGGAGGAAGGGAGUAAAGUUAAUACCUUUGCUCAUUGACGUUACCCGCAGAAGAAGCACCGGCUAACUCCGUG
rnacentral:rRNA from 1 species